ACUCCUACGGGAGGCAGCAGUGGGGAAUAUUGCACAAUGGGCGCAAGCCUGAUGCAGCGACGCCGCGUGAGGGAUGACGGCCUUCGGGUUGUAAACCUCUUUCAGUAGGGAAGAAGCGAAAGUGACGGAUACCUGCAGAAGAAGCACCGGCUAACUACGUGCCAGCAGCCGCGGUAAUACGUAGGGUGCGAGCGUUAUCCGGAAUUAUUGGGGCGUAAAGAGCUCGUAGGCGGUUUGUCGCGUCUGUCGUGAAAGUCCGGGGCUUAACCCCGGAUCUGCGGUGGGUACGGGCAGA
rnacentral:rRNA from 1 species